GGGAGGCAGCAGUGGGGAAUAUUGGUCAAUGGAGGCAACUCUGAACCAGCCAUGCCGCGUGUAGGAAGAAGGCGUUCUGCGUUGUAAACUACUUUUGAUUGGGAACAAAUGACUCUUGCGAGAGUAGCUGAGUGUACCAAUAGAAUAAGCCACGGCUAACUACGUGCCAGCAGCCGCGGUAAUACGUAGGUGGCAAGCGUUGUCCGGAUUUAUUGGGUUUAAAGGGUGCGUAGGCGGCUUAAUAAGUCAGUGGUGAAAGCCGAUCGCUUAACGAUCGAACUGCCAUUGAUACUGCUAGGCUUGAGUAUAGUUGAGGUAGGCGGAAUUGACAGUGUAGCGGUGAAAUGCAUAGAUAUUGUCAAGAACACCAAUUGCGAAGGCAGCUUACUAAAGUAUAACUGACGCUGAGGCACGAAAGUGCGGGGAUCAAACAGGAUUAGAUACCCUUGUAGUCC
rnacentral:rRNA from 1 species